CUGCUUAGAAGGAAACGGACGGAGUUGAUAAGUCGUCUCUCGGAUCAGUAUGCUGAAGCUUGUUUACAGCGAAAGCGUAUGCAUUUUCGGUAGAUGAGCGUCGCGAUCGAUAUUUUUACUGGUAAAGGCCCUUAAUAUGUCGGCUAGGCUUUUGUGCUUAGUGUCCCUGUCAUGGUGCUUGUCCCCGGUUGAAAAUAUCGUGAACCAAACGUGCCCGACAUUGUAGUCUUGAGGUGGAAGUCUAGGCAUUGAUUAAAACGUUGGGUCCUGCUUGCAGAGCUCAGCUACUUUCAAUGUCUGUGGCGAUCUGGUACUUGAGCGGCACUUAUGGUCAGCGGCGUCCGCGUCAGCCACCCGUCCGACCCGUCUUGAAACACGGACCAAGGAGUCUAACAUGUGCGCAAGUCAUUGGAUUUUAACUCGAAAGGCGAAAUGAAAGUGAAAGUCAGUUUGGCUGACUGAGGUGAGAUCUUUAGAUGUAUAUCUGAGGGGCAUCACCGUCCCGUCUUUUGAGUAGUGUCUCAGAGGCGGUGAUAGAGCGUACACGUUAGGACCCGAAAGAUGGUGAACUAUGCUUGAGCAGGAUGAAGCCAGAGGAAACUCUGGUGGAGGUCCGCAGCGGUUCUGACGUGCAAAUCG
rnacentral:rRNA from 1 species